rnacentral:rRNA from 1 species
GACGAACGCUGGCGGCGUGCCUAAUACAUGCAAGUUGAGCGCUGAAGGUUGGUACUUGUACCAACUGGAUGAGCAGCGAACGGGUGAGUAACGCGUGGGGAAUCUGCCUUUGAGCGGGGGACAACAUUUGGAAACGAAUGCUAAUACCGCAUAAAAACUUUAAACACAAGUUUUAAGUUUGAAAGAUGCAAUUGCAUCACUCAAAGAUGAUCCCGCGUUGUAUUAGCUAGUUGGUGAGGUAAAGGCUCACCAAGGCGAUGAUACAUAGCCGACCUGAGAGGGUGAUCGGCCACAUUGGGACUGAGACACGGCCCAAACUCCUACGGGAGGCAGCAGUAGGGAAUCUUCGGCAAUAGACGAAAGUCUGACCGAGCAACGCCGCGUGAGUGAAGAAGGUUUUCGGAUCGUAAAACUCUGUUGGUAGAGAAGAACGUUGGUGAGAGUGGAAAGCUCAUAAAGUGACGGUAACUACCCAGAAAGGGACGGCUAACUACGUG